rnacentral:rRNA from 1 species
GGACGAACGCUGGCGGCGUGCUUAAUACAUGCAAGUCGAACGGGGUUAAAGUAAAUAGUUUACUAUUAACUUUAACCUAGUGGCGAACGGGUGAGUAACGCGUGGGUAAUCUGUCCUUAAGCCCGGGAUAACAGAGCGAAAGUUCUGCUAAGACCGGAUAUGCUCUUUAGGUCGCAUGACUUUAAGAGGAAAGGCAACACUUAGGGGUGAGCCCGCGUCCCAUUAGCUAGUUGGUAAGGUAAAAGCUUACCAAGGCAACGAUGGGUAGCCGGCCUGAGAGGGUGAUCGGCCACACUGGGACUGAGACACGGCCCAGACUCCUACGGGAGGCAGCGGUAGGGAAUUUUCCGCAAUGGGCGCAAGCCUGACGGAGCAACGCCGCGUGAGGGAUGAAGGUCUUCGGAUCGUAAACCUUUGUCAUCGAGGAAGAUAAUGACGGUACUCGAGGAGGAAGCCCCGGCUAACUACGUGCCAGCAGCCGCGGUAACACGUAGGGGGCGAGCGUUGUCCGGAAUUACUGGGCGUAAAGGGCGCGUAGGCGGCCUAUUAAGUCAGAUGUGAAACCCCUGGGCUUAACCUUGGGCUUGCAUUUGAAACUGAAAGGCUUGAGGGCAGGAGAGGAAAACGGAAUUCCCAGUGUAGCGGUGAAAUGCGUAGAUAUUGGGAGGAACACCAGUGGCGAAGGCGGUUUUCUGGACUGCACCUGACGCUGAGGCGCGAAAGCUAGGGUAGCAAACGGGAUUAGAUACCCCGGUAGUCCUGGCUGUAAACGAUGGAUACUAGGUGUGGGAGGUAUCGACCCCUUCUGUGCCGCAGUUAACACAUUAAGUAUCCCGCCUGGGGAGUACGGCCGCAAGGCUG